rnacentral:snRNA from 1 species
AUAUAUCUGCCUUCUAACACUCUCUGAUGGCUAAGAUCUAAGGACUGUCUAUUAAAUUGAGUUUUGGAAUGGGGGGCUGGAAUAGGAGCUUGCUCUGUCCACCCCAUGCAUCGACCUGGUAUUGCAGUGUCUCCAGGAACCGUGCAAAAACA